CUGAGAUUUAUUUAUUUAUUUUUAUUUGUCCUCUCUGACUUCUCUCUCACGACAGAUUCAUUCUCCUUUUUUUUUUCUGUUUCUUCUUUUCAUCUUCUUCAAUCUUCACUCCAAUCUCUCCCAUCUUCUUUCACUCUCAUCUCUCCCAUCUCUGUACGCUUGAAAGCUCACCAACUCUCCCAUGUCUCACUUUUCAGAUCUGGUUAACUGAGACAGGAUGAAGAUGAUGAUGGAGACGACGAAGAAAGAGACUCGCGGGGACGAAGCGCCGAGGCUCACCGGAGAAGAAGAUGCGCCGGAAGGUAGAUGAGGCAGAAGAAAAUGAUGUUUGGUCACCGCCGCCGAGCUGAAGCGACUCAAGCCAUUUUGCUUCCCGGAAUGGCCUAACCCCGCCGGAUCUAAAUCUGAAUGCUCCGGUGGAGUUUGGAAGAGGGAUAAGACUAUUCGAUGGAACUGCUAAUGCAUGUUAGGAGAUGAAUCGAGAACGAAACGUCACCGGAGUAACCGACAUAGACGCAACCAUCGGUCACGAAGACGAUGCAUGCCUAACGGGCCAACCUUCUGACGUAUGAAGCCCAAAUAGAAAUAUCUCUUGCUUGUGAGCCCACCUGAAACAACAACGAAAGCGUAAAAAAAAUAGGGAGAGGACAGGUGUCGGCCUGUUAGUCAUCGACUUUCCACGUGGCAAAGCAGGAGAGAGACCAACAUUUUUAUAUAUAUAGACUAGUGGUUUUCCGGCGCUACGCGCCGGGUUUGUAUGUUUUAUUUUUAAGUAAAUUUAUAAUUUACUUAAUGGUCUUAGUAAAGAAAAUAUGUUAAAAAGAAUGAAGACGAAAAUAUGUUAAAAAUGAUAUUUUUUCCCGAUCCAAUUGAUAGUGAUUAGUGACCA